AUCCGCGUGACGCAGCGGUUUAGCGUGUUGCUCUUAUACAUGUAAUCCUCUGUUGGGCUACUAGAUAUGCAAAAGUCGUGAGUUCGAUCCUCACCGCGGAUA